GUGUCAGCCGCCGCGCGGUAAUACGGAGGGUGCAAGCGUUACUCGGAAUCACUGGGCGUAAAGCGCGCGCAGGCGGCUAGAUAAGUUGGAAGUGAAAUCCUAUGGCUCAACCAUAGAACUGCUUCCAAAACUGUUUAGCUAGAGUCUGGGAGGGGAAGAUGGAAUUAGUAGUGUAGGGGUAAAAUCCGUAGAGAUUACUAGGAAUACCAAAAGCGAAGGCGAUCUUCUGGAACAGUACUGACGCUGAGGCGCGAAAGCGUGGGGAGCAAACAGGAUUAGAUACCCUGGUAGUCCACGCCCUAAACGAUGAAUGUUAGUCGUCGGGACUCUAGUAGUUUCGGUGAUGCAGUUAACACAUUAAACAUUCCGCCUGGGGAGUACGGUCGCAAGAUUAAAACUCAAAGGAAUAGACGGGGACCCGCACAAGUGGUGGAGCAUGUGGUUUAAUUCGAAGAUACGCGAAGAACCUUACCUAGCCUUGACAUAUUUUAGAACUCCGCAGAGAUGUAGAGGUGCCUUCGGGAGCUAAUAUACAGGUGCUGCACGGCUGUCGUCAGCUCGUGUCGUGAGAUGUUGGGUUAAGUCCCGCAACGAGCGCAACCCUCGUUCUUAGUUACUAACGGUUCGGCCGAGGACUCUAAGAAGACUGCCUUCGUAAGGAGGAGGAAGGUGAGGACGACGUCAAGUCAUCAUGGCCCUUACGGCUAGGGCAACACACGUGCUACAAUGGUUAGGACAAUGAGACGCAAUACCGCGAGGUGGAGCAAAUCUAUAAACCUAAUCUCAGUUCGGAUUGUAGUCUGCAACUCGACUACAUGAAGCUGGAAUCACUAGUAAUCGUAGAUCAGCUAUGCUACGG
rnacentral:rRNA from 1 species